CUCUUUUGCGUUACAUUAGCAAUUUAGCAUUAUCAAGUAUGCCUGUUUUUUCUUCUUCUUAUGUUCUUAUUUGUCACAACAUAUAUUGUCUUAAUUAGGUAUAUUGAUAUCUGGCUAGUCAAGUAGUAAUUAGUUUUACGUUCGGUCAUGGGUCUGGUAAUGAUUUGAAGUGCCCAAGAUGUUGUUUGGUUGACAUGAAAAACUAUGGGAAGUAAUAAGUAUAACUAUUAGGAAGUGGAAUGUUGUGAUGUUGUUUGGUUUGCAAUAACAUGGGAAGUCACAUUUUGUAGCUAGCUCAAAAUGCUAACUCAGGUAAAAUGCUAUAAUCUAUUGGUGCUUGGUUGGAGCAUGGAGACAUGAGUGCAUGUGCAUCUCAAGAUGUAGAAUUAUUGAAUAUUAAUGAAAAAUGCUAAGCUGCAUUAGAAUACACUGUAUAUUUCCAAUUUUCCAUUGCGGUGUCAUCUUUUGUUAAGUUGGGAACUUAAAUUUGUAGUCAAAUUGAAUCUGUCAAAUUGAAUACACUGAUUUGAAAUGCUAAAUUGAAUCUGUCUAUUGGGAGCAUUCUGGAUUUGAAUUGCAGAAUGUUGUUUUGAUCCUCUUUGGUUUAAGUACAUUGAAUAGUAAACUGUUUUGUCUCAAAAAUUUAAUUUUCGCUAAAGUACUAGAAAUUCAACCAUUUCUUGAGCCAGAAGUACUUUUAUCGAAUAACGUAGAAGCUGCUAUGUACUUAAGCUUGAACAGCUGCAUUAGCAUUACACAUUACCUUAAUUUUUUAUUUGAGCUUGAGUGGCUUGUUAACUAUGCUCCUUGCUUUCCUUCUUGAUCUAUGACCUACCUAAACUCUCUCAUUUCUUUAUACUUGGAUGGUUCCUGUCCUCUCACUACUAUGACUUUCCGAUUGUCUUGUUCUGUCUUUUUUUUAUAAGAAGAUGAACACAUUAGAGAGUGGUAUGAUCGUUUGAUAGAUUGAAAUAGUUUAGAGAGCCAUUUUCCUUCUCAUUUCUAGGUAAUGUAGCUAAGUAAGUUGGUUAGGUUUUCCUCCAUAAAGAUUUUGGUGAUAAUAUAGUUGCUAAUUCUAUAUUUUGGUAAUUUUUUUGCAAUAGAAUGUGUUAAAAGAUUUUGUCAGUUAUGAAACCUGAAAAUUUGUAAGUACGGAGUAGUUCAGUAGUAUGACUGUAUGAGUACCGAGUACCGAGUACCGACUAGGUUGUGUCGGGCCAGGCAAGGCCAAGCCAGCCCAUUGUCAAAUAAAUUGGGCUGUACCCGUUUAUAGUGGCUAACAUUUAACACUCAAACUCGCUAAAUUUCACUGGGUUGAUUGGCUUGGCAGCCUGACAGGUUUUCACGAGUCCGUGACAUUUCAGAACUUAUAACUACUACUCCGUACAAUUCUAUACUAAGAAAAGUUAAGGAUUUUUUUCGUCAUUUAACACUUUAAAAAAACCAAAAGGUAAUUCAAAUACGGAGAGAAGAACCUCGUAUACCAGUUAUACAGGGCAUAGCGGUUAAACCACAGCUAGCCACGGGUAUUUUGUGUAUGUAAAUCUGUAGUCCACACGUGUCGAUUUUAGCUGCUAGAACGCUUGUCAUUUGCGAUGCUGUAUGGACUGAAAUCUUUUGGGGAUGGAGAGCCAGUAGGCAUACAAAUUGACAAGCGCAAAUCAAUGUUCUACCGUUAGAGGAACCUUCAACUUAGCUUGAAACGAUUAAUUGAACUAUUAGACCCCAUUCACCGAGUCAAGUAAGGUGGCUAAGUAAGGUGGUUAGGUUUUCCUUCAUUUGAUCCACAGAUCCUUGAUUUUCCUUACAAGUUUACCUAUAAACUCGUUAGUCGUUGUCAUUACCGUCAACCUACCUAAUGGCCAUUAAAGAAACAUUUGAUUGUCAAUUUUUUUUUCUUUGAUGUGGAUAGAUUGAUUAAUUAUUCAUUUUUCUCAUUGGCAUAAUCCACUUUCUAUGAAAUAAAAAGUCAAAUUCAAAACAACACCUAAUGCAUUAUAAUCAGAACCAAAUAAAAAAUACUUCUCAUUCUAUAAGAGCAAUCUGCUCUUCAUCAUCCCAUAGCAGAACUGGUUACUGGUAGAGUAGCUUUGGUCUCCCCUGGCUUUUGAAGAUGCAGAAAUUACAAGCGAAGCCGGCGGCAUCAGCUUUAGCAAUGUUCUUCCUUCUGGCCACCUUUGCACCGGAUUUUUCAGUAGCCGUUAGCUCUCAUGAAGCUUUGUGGCUCUUGAAACCCUACAAGGAAGGUGGUUCUACAAGGAAGAUGAUUGUUCUUGCAGGUGGCAGGGCACAGAGAAGUCUUAGAACAAAAACACCAAGCUAUCUACCAUCACCGGAACCGGGUAAACGGAUGAAUCCCCUACCUCCUUCAAUCUCUGAGAAGCUGUUGUGAUUAAAAGAGGAUUUAGCUCAAACCUCUCCUUUUAAAAAAGCUCCUCACACCAUUUUUUUUUAUUAGAAGAUUGUUAAUGUAAAAUUGUAUAAUACUCAUUUACUAUAUUAUUACCCUUUUUCCCUCAAACAUUUACAUUUUUCAAGUCAGUUUCAACUCUCGGCCUUUCUCUUCUUUAAUCAUUAUUUUUCUUUCA